CGUGUGAAUGAAGCUAGCGAUGAUGGGACCAUCGGACUUAAGCCAAUGAACUAGCUGUCUUUGGCAGUUCCGGUGUCCCGUUUCAAGUUUUGAAUUCACAAAGGAAGCGCCCAUUCUAGUGCCGUCGUCUUGUAGCGAGUGUAAAUGAAGGAAGAUUCAUAAGCCUAAGAAAGUGAAGUAAAAGAGUAAAAAAAAAACCAAAAAAAAAAACAUGGCAUCCAUAGGUCGUUAUUGAUGGAGCUACUGUAAGUAUUGGCGAAGAUGGACACGAAAACUUAAAAUUCAAUAUCCAUUAUCAGAUCACCAGUCCUGAGCUGCAGUAUGUGCUACCUGCCAACGUACCAGUACUUUCGAUGGAGGCAUUAUAAUAAUUUUGAUCGGUUCUUGAAGAUGGUCUUGUGCAAACAAUUGUAUUUUCAAGCCUUGAAACUUGUUUAACAACAUUUAAAUCUAUUCUUAACAACUUUGUUUCCUGACUUCAUCUGAACUGGAUCAAAAAGUACUAAGAAGUUUCAAAAGCACAAGAUUGUCAAAAUCGGGCCAGUUUGCAGAAUUCUGAAGUGCGAGGAUGCAACUACUGUAGAUGUGAAAAAAAGGAGGCGAUUGAAUACUUUCUUAAUAACCUUUGUGAAAAGUAUGAGG